rnacentral:lncRNA from 1 species
GACAAUGAAGAAAUUGGAAUUUGCAAGCAGCGACUGUGGCAAGAGACACAAGGUAACAACCAAUAUGUAAUUAUUUAUGACAAAGGCAGAUGCAGUUCAUAUUCAAAGAACAAUUAAUUAAGCCUCUUCAUCACACAAAAAAUGCUGAAAUAAUUUUAUUAAACAUGGGAUACGACGACUACAAUUAAUUCAAAUUUGAAAUUCAAGUGAAAUCACAAUAGAACUAAAUCAGUGGUGACAACGGUAUAAUUUAGCCGUGAAGGACAUAUAACCUUAUUUCAGCAACAAUCAUUUUAGAAUAUACACGAUUCACUAAAUCUACAGGCAAUUACAAAAUUAGAAGUUAAGGAAUACCUCGAAAGGGAUAAAUCAAAGGAGAAAAGUGAUGAAGAAACUGUAUUGAGUUCAGCACAAUGAACAACGGUUUUACAGUUCGAAUAACCAUUGAAAUUCCAGAGAAUAUCCACCCAAUGUGCUGGGGUUUUAUAAUAGCUUUUGUAAUACCUUUUCCUUAUGAUGUUUUUCUUCUACUUUCAAGUUUUUCCGAUUCCAGAUCUUAAAACUUUUGAAGGAGUCCGUUUCUCUUCUUUUUUUUGUUGUGUGUGUAUGUGUUAUCAGUGAGUGAGAUGAGAAAGAAGAAGGGGAUGGCUGGGUUUUUUUAGAUGUCCAC